CAGGAAGUAAAAAGAAGAAGGAAGAAAACACAGCUGAUCCUGAGGAUGGUGUUUUGUACGCCUCCAUCAGCUUCAUGGAUCAGACCAGACAAAGAGAACAGGUUUCUGACACUGUGACCUACAGCACUGUGGAAGCUUCGUCCUCUUCUACUGGAGUUUCUAUUGAUCCAAACAGCCUCUACU